UCCCACCCAUCCCGGGGGUGCGAUGAAGGCCUUCGGGUUGUAAAGCACUUUUGUCAGGGAAGAAAAGGUUCUGGCUAAUAUCCGGAACUGAUGACGGUACCUGAAGAAUAAGCACCGGCUAACUACGUGCCAGCAGCCGCGGUAAUACGUAGGGUGCAAGCGUUAAUCGGAAUUACUGGGCGUAAAGCGUGCGCAGGCGGUUCGGAAAGAAGGAUGUGAAAUCCCAGGGCUCAACCUUGGAACUGCAUUCUUAACUACCGGACUAGAGUAUGUCAGAGGGGGGUAGAAUUCCGCGUGUAGCAGUGAAAUGCGUAGAUAUGCGGAGGAAUACCGAUGGCGAAGGCAGCCCCCUGGGAUAAUACUGACGCUCAUGCACGAAAGCGUGGGUAGCAAACAGGAUUAGAUACCCUGGUAGUCCACGCCCUAAACGAUGUCAACUAGCUGUUGGGCCCUUCGGGGCUUAGUAGCGUAGCUAACGCGUGAAGUUGACCGCCUGGGGAGUACGGUCGCAAGAUUAAAACUCAAAGGAAUUGACGGGGACCCGCACAAGCGGUGGAUGAUGUGGAUUAAUUCGAUGCAACGCGAAAAACCUUACCUACCCUUGACAUGUCUGGAGUCCUUUAGAGAUAGAGGAGUGCUCGCAAGAGAACCGGAACACAGGUGCUGCAUGGCUGUCGUCAGCUCGUGUCGUGAGAUGUUGGGUUAAGUCCCGCAACGAGCGCAACCCUUGUCAUUAGUUGCCAGCAUUUAGUUGGGCACUCUAAUGAGACUGCCGGUGACAAACCGGAGGAAGGUGGGGAUGACGUCAAGUCCUCAUGGCCCUUAUGGGUAGGGCUUCACACGUCAUACAAUGGUCGGGACAGAGGGUUGCCAAACCGCAAGGUGGAGCCAAUCUCAGAAACCCGAUCGUAGUCCGGAUUGCAGGCUGCAACUCGCCUGCAUGAAGUCGGAAUCGCUAGUAAUCGCGGAUCAGCAUGUCGCGGUGAAUACGUUCCCGGGUCUUGUACACACCGCCCGUCACACCAUGGGAGUGGGUUUUACCAGAAGUAGUUAGCCUAACCGCAAGGAGGGCGAUUACC
rnacentral:rRNA from 1 species